GUGAGAGCACGGUGGGUUAGGGGAAAGAAAUGAAACCCUUGCUCCAAAUUCAUUCAAUUCCACAUAACUUUCAAUCCGGAGCUCCGAUCACCGCACCGUUUGCGGUCACACGACCGCAACGUCGAGCUCUACAAAACCCAGUGGUCAAUUAGAUUGAAAUUGGUUGUGGAUUGGAGUCAAUUUGAGAAAUUGGAAGCUAGAGGAUUAGCUUUGGAGGCUGGUUAUCAUUGGUGAGGGGGCUAGAGUUGUGGAGGUUGUGGUUCGGAAAUGUUUGAGGUGUUUUGGGUUAUCAAAAAAAUGGCCAAGAUGCAGGUUGAGAAGCACCACUCUGUAUUCUGGAGACACUGACGAAGCGAAAAACUCUUGGGAUUCAGGGCCGUAUAUUUAUGAAUGUAUAUAGAUUCUCCACCUUGUAUUUUAUGUUUGUCCCUCUUAGAGGUUGACUCGGAGAAACAGGUUGUCAUUUUUUGCUUUGGGUCAUUUUGGGAUCCUCUUAUGUAUAUACUUGUAUGUUCUGGCUGGUUUAUCUUUGCGAACUGAGUUGGAAGCCUUGUUAAUUAUACCUUUGACACUCCCUUUUUAUUAUUCAUACACAAAUAUCUUACGUUUCCUCG